CCCUCUCACGGGGUAAUGGUUCUGGGGCCUGAGCCCAGCCCACUUGCAGCACCCCAGACAUCCUGACCUCUGCCUCACUGAGUGCGAUGGAUCAGAGGCCCAAGGAAGGACAACCGUUGUAGCCCACCGUGGUGGAAUAGGGCUCUAGGGCUGCUGUCUCGUCUUGGCCAGGCCCUGUGCUGUAAUGAUGUGGGGUGGAGGUUAACAGGAACAAACAGAACAGGACAGACCACCGCAGCUGUCUGGAAGGCGAUGGCUGCAGAGACUCAGCUGCAUGGUGAUUGGAAUGACCCUGGGAAGGACUCACCUGCUUGGGCCGAGGUGUAGCGUGGAAGCUGAGAAGGAUGGAGAGAAUCUAGCUUUUCCCCAUGGUGAGGCUUGGAGAGGCCUUGAGCCAAUCCCACAGCAGGAAGCUUGGUGCACAGGAAGAUGCCGACCCUGUCUGAGCCCCAGGGUGCAGACCCAGUGCAGGAGGUGGGCUGUACCAGGAGGUGUUACCAGCCUUGCCCUCAGGGAUGACCCAGCUCUUCUCUUUAGGCCAUUUGGAAGGUUCUCUCUGCUCAGACACCAUGUGCAUGGUGCAUCCUCCAUGCCAUCAGUGGCAGUGGGUCCUGGGCAGAGCACUGAGCCCAGCUGUGAACAUUCGCACCCUCAAAAUCAGAAUGCAUGGAGAGGCCUCCAUCCAGAGAGGAGUGAUGAUCAAUCUUGAUGUGAUUAUGGACAUAUAAAUAAACA